GGGGAUGUAGCUCAGUGGUAGAGCGCUCGAUUCGCAUUUGAGAGGCCCCGGGUUCAAUCCCCGGCAUCUCCA
rnacentral:tRNA from 1 species